rnacentral:tRNA from 1 species
GCCUGGGUGGCUCAGUUGGUUGGGCGUCUGCCUUCCACUCAGGUCAUGAUCCCAGGGUCCUGGGAUCGAGCCCCUCCUCGGGCU